CCCUUAGAUGUUCUGGGCCGCACGCGUGCUACACUGAGUGGAUCAGCGGGUCAGGUUGCGCGAAAGUGUUUCCUAAUCUUAAAAUCCGCUCGUGAUGGGGAUUGACGGUUGCAAUUUUCCGUCAUGAACGAGGAAUACCUUGUAAGCGCGGGUCAUCAUCCCGCGCUGAAUACGUCCCUGCCCUUUGUACACACCGCCCGUCGCUCCUACCGAUUGAGUGGUCCGGUGAGGCUUUGGGAUCUGAGCAAAGAGAGCGUUUCGCUCGUUUUGCCCGGAAAACUCAGUCGAACCUUAUCAUUUAGAGGAAGGAGAAGUCGUAACA
rnacentral:rRNA from 1 species